ACGGAAGGCAGCAGUGGGGGAUAUUGCACAAUGGGGGAAACCCUGAUGCAGCGACGCCGCGUGAGUGAAGAAGUAUUUCGGUAUGUAAAGCUCUAUCAGCAGGGAAGAAAAUGACGGUACCUGACUAAGAAGCUCCGGCUAAAUACGUGCCAGCAGCCGCGGUAAUACGUAUGGAGCAAGCGUUAUCCGGAUUUACUGGGUGUAAAGGGAGCGUAGACGGCGAGGCAAGUCUGAUGUGAAAGCCAUGGGCUCAACCCAUGAACUGCAUUGGAAACUGUCUUGCUUGAGUGUCGGAGAGGUAAGCGGAAUUCCUAGUGUAGCGGUGAAAUGCGUAGAUAUUAGGAGGAACACCAGUGGCGAAGGCGGCUUACUGGACGAUAACUGACGUUGAGGCUCGAAAGCGUGGGGAGCAAACAGGAUUAGAUACCCUGGUA
rnacentral:rRNA from 1 species